AUUGAACGCUGGCGGCAGGCUUAACACAUGCAAGUCGAGCGGAGAGAGGUAGCUUGCUACUGAUCUUAGCGGCGGACGGGUGAGUAAUGCUUAGGAAUCUGCCUAUUAGUGGGGGACAACAUUUCGAAAGGAAUGCUAAUACCGCAUACGUCCUACGGUAGAAAGCAGGGGAUCUUCGGACCUUGCGCUAAUAGAUGAGCCUAGGUCGGAUUAGCUAGUUGGUGGGGUAAAGGCCUACCAAGGCGACGAUCUGUAGCGGGUCUGAGAGGAUGGUCCGCCACACUGGGACUGAGACACGGACCAGACUCCUACAGGAGGCAGCAGUGGGGAAUAUUGGACAAUGGGCGGAAGCCUGAUCCAGCCAUGCCGCGUGUGUGAAGAAGGCCUUAUGGUUGUAAAGCACUUUAAGCGAGGAGGAGGCUACUUUAGUUAAUACCUAGAGAUAGUGGACGUUACUCGCAGAAUAAGCACCGGCUAACUCUGUGCCAGCCGCCGCAGUAAUAC
rnacentral:rRNA from 1 species